UCCCUGGUGGCUCAGAGGUUAAAGUGUCUGCCCGCAAUGCAGGAGACCCGGGUUCGAUCCCUGGGUUGGGAA
rnacentral:tRNA from 1 species